GCCUGGGUGGCUCAGUCGGUUGAGUGUCCGAUUUCGGCUCAGGUCAUGACCUCACAGCUCGUGAGUUCGAGCCCCACUUCGGGCU
rfam:Felis catus isolate Cinnamon breed Abyssinian chromosome B4, whole genome shotgun sequence.